rnacentral:rRNA from 1 species
GAUGAACGCUGGCGGCGUGCCUAAUACAUGCAAGUCGAGCGAACAGACGAGGAGCUUGCUCCUCUGACGUUAGCGGCGGACGGGUGAGUAACACGUGGAUAACCUACCUAUAAGACUGGGAUAACUUCGGGAACCGGAGCUAAUACCGGAUAAUAUAUUGAACCGCAUGGUUCAAUAGUGAAAGACGGUUUUGCUGUCACUUAUAGAUGGAUCCGCGCCGCAUUAGCUAGUUGGUAAGGUAACGGCUUACCAAGGCGACGAUGCGUAGCCGACCUGAGAGGGUGAUCGGCCACACUGGAACUGAGACACGGUCCAGACUCCUACGGGAGGCAGCAGUAGGGAAUCUUCCGCAAUGGGCGAAAGCCUGACGGAGCAACGCCGCGUGAGUGAUGAAGGUCUUCGGAUCGUAAAACUCUGUUAUUAGGGAAGAACAAAUGUGUAAGUAACUAUGCACGUCUUGACGGUACCUAAUCAGAAAGCCACGGCUAACUACGUG